UGAGGAAUAUUGGACAAUGGGCGCAAGCCUGAUCCAGCCAUGCCGCGUGCAGGAAGAAGCAUCUAUGGUGUGUAAACUGCUUUUGUACGGGAAGAAACACUCCUUCGUGAAGGAGCUUGACGGUACCGUAAGAAUAAGGAUCGGCUAACUCCGUGCC
rnacentral:rRNA from 1 species